UACAGAGGGUGCGAGCGUUAAUCGGAAUUACUGGGCGUAAAGCGCGCGUAGGCGGCUUUGCAAGUCGGGUGUGAAAUCCCAGGGCUCAACCUGGGAACUGCAUCUGUGACUGCAUAGCUAGAGUACGGUAGAGGGGGAUGGAAUUCCGCGUGUAGCAGUGAAAUGCGUAGAUAUGCGGAGGAACACCGAUGGCGAAGGCAAUCCCCUGGACCUGUACUGACGCUCAUGCACGAAAGCGUGGGGAGCAAACAGG
rnacentral:rRNA from 1 species